rnacentral:rRNA from 1 species
GACGAACGCUGGCGGCGUGCCUAAUACAUGCAAGUAGAACGCACAGUUUAUACCGUAGCUUGCUCCACCAUAGACUGUGAGUUGCGAACGGGUGAGUAACGCGUAGGUAACCUGCCUGGUAGCGGGGGAUAACUAUUGGAAACGAUAGCUAAUACCGCAUAAUAUUAAUUAUUGCAUGAUAAUUAAUUGAAAGGUGCAAUUGCACCACUACCAGAUGGACCUGCGUUGUAUUAGCUAGUAGGUGAGGUAACGGCUCACCUAGGCGACGAUACAUAGCCGACCUGAGAGGGUGAUCGGCCACACUGGGACUGAGACACGGCCCAGACUCCUACGGGAGGCAGCAGUAGGGAAUCUUCGGCAAUGGACGAAAGUCUGACCGAGCAACGCCGCGUGAGUGAAGAAGGGUUUCGGAUCGUAAAGCUCUGUUGUAAGAGAAGAACGGGUGUGAGAGUGGAAAGUUCACACUGUGACGGUAGCUUACCAGAAAGGGACGGCUAACUACGUG